AGAAUCAACGCUGGCGGCGUGCCUAACACAUGCAAGUCGAACGAGAAAGUGGAGCAAUCCAUGAGUACAGCGGCGCACGGGUGAGUAACACGUGACUAACCUACCCUUGAGUGGGGAAUAACCUGGAGAAAUCUAGGCUAAUACCGCAUAACACCUACGGGUCAAAGGAGCAAUUCGCUUAAGGAGGGGGUCGCGGCAGAUUAGCUAGUUGGCGGGGUAAUGGCCCACCAAGGCAGUGAUCUGUA
rnacentral:rRNA from 1 species